rnacentral:rRNA from 1 species
UACGGAGGGGGCUAGCGUUGUUCGGAAUUACUGGGCGUAAAGCGCACGUAGGCGGACUGUUAAGUCGGGGGUGAAAUCCUGGGGCUCAACCUCAGAAUUGCCUCCGAUACUGGCAGUCUCGAGUGCGGGAGAGGUGAGUGGAAUUCCCAGUGUAGAGGUGAAAUUCGUAGAUAUUGGGAAGAACACCAGUGGCGAAGGCGACUUCCUGGACCAAUACUGACGCUCAUGUGCGAAAGCGUGGGGAGCAAACAGG